rnacentral:sRNA from 1 species
GUUUUUCUGUCGGAGAAGGCGGGGCCAAGGUGGGUGGCAUGGGCGGAGUCCCGCAAGAGCUUAGACUGUUUGUCUUUGUCUUUCUGCUGAAGGAGCAGGGUGAGCAGCUCUAAGGCACUUCCCACACUACUUCGAACCCCCAUGUCAUCAUUGUGUUUGCUUCCAGCAGAGCGUCCUGGCCAGAACAAGCCAAGGAGCCAAGACGAGAGGGACACACAGACAAACAACAGACGGAAGACGUACUGGCCGCUGGACUCCGCUGCCUCCCCCAUCUCCCCGCCAUCUGCGCCCGGAGGAUGAGCCCAGCCUUCAGGGCGAUGGAUGUGGAGCCCCGCGCCAAAGGCGUCCUUCUGGAGCCCUUUGUCCACCAGGUCGGGGGGCACUCAUGCGUGCUCCGCUUCAAUGAGACAACCCUGUGCAAGCCCCUGGUCCCAAGGGAACAUCAGUUCUACGAGACCCUCCCUGCUGAGAUGCGCAAAUUCACUCCCCAGUACAAAGGUGUGGUAUCUGUGCGCUUUGAAGAAGAUGAAGACAGGAACUUGUGUCUAAUAGCAUAUCCAUUGAAAGGGGACCAUGGAAUUGUGGACAUUGUAGAUAAUUCAGACUGUGAACCAAAAAGUAAGCUCCUAAGGUGGACAACAAACAAAAAACAUCAUGUCUUAGAAACAGAAAAGACCCCUAAGGACUGGGUGCGCCAGCACCGUAAAGAGGAGAAAAUGAAGAGCCAUAAGUUAGAAGAAGAAUUUGAGUGGCUUAAGAAAUCUGAAGUCUUGUACUACACUGUAGAGAAGAAGGGGAAUAUAAGUUCCCAGCUUAAACACUAUAACCCUUGGAGCAUGAAAUGUCACCAGCAACAGUUACAGAGAAUGAAGGAGAAUGCAAAGCAUCGGAACCAGUACAAAUUUAUCUUACUGGAAAACCUGACUUCCCGCUACGAGGUGCCUUGUGUCCUUGACCUCAAGAUGGGCACACGACAACAUGGUGAUGAUGCUUCAGAGGAGAAGGCAGCCAACCAGAUCCGAAAAUGUCAGCAGAGCACAUCUGCAGUCAUUGGUGUGCGUGUGUGUGGCAUGCAG